AGUGAACGCUGGCGGCAGGCCUAAUACAUGCAAGUCGAACGGCAGCACAGCAGAGCUUGCUCUGUGGGUGGCGAGUGGGCGGACGGGUGAGGAAUACGUGGGAAUCUGCCCAGUCGUGGGGAUAACGUAGGGAAACUUACGCUAAUACCGCAUGCGCCCUUCGGGGAAAGCCGGGGACCGUUCGGGCCUGGCGCGAUUGGAUGAGCCCACGUCGGAUUAGCUAGUUGGCGGGGUAAAGGCCCACCAAGGCGACGAUCCGUAGCUGGUCUGAGAGGAUGAUCAGCCACACUGGAACUGAGACACGGUCCAGACUCCUACGGGAGGCAGCAGUAGGGAAUAUUGGACAAUGGGCGCAAGCCUGAUCCAGCCAUGCCGCGUGAGUGAAGAAGGCCCUCGGGUUGUAAAGCUCUUUUGUCCGGAAAGAAAAGCGCCGGGUUAAUACCCUGGUGUCCUGACGGUACCGGAAGAAUAAGCACCGGCUAACUUCGUGCCAGCAGCCGCGGUAA
rnacentral:rRNA from 1 species